GGUCCUGUAGCUCAGUGGUAGAGCGAUGAGUAUUAAGAUACUCAUAAGACCGGGGUUCGAGUCCUCGCAGGACUA
rnacentral:tRNA from 1 species